AACGAACGCUGGCGGCAUGCCUAACACAUGCAAGUCGAACGAGACCUUCGGGUCUAGUGGCGCACGGGUGCGUAACGCGUGGGAACCUGCCCUUAGGUUCGGAAUAACUCCCCGAAAGGGGUGCUAAUACCGGAUAAUGUCUUCGGACCAAAGAUUUAUCGCCUUUGGAUGGGCCCGCGUUGGAUUAGCUAGUUGGUAGGGUAAAAGCCUACCAAGGCGACGAUCCAUAGCUGGUCUCAGAGGAAGAGCAGCCACACUGGGACUGAGAAACGGCCCAGAAUUCUACGGGAUGGGGGCAUGGGGGAUACUGGCACGCCGGGGGAAGCCUGAAGCCCUACUGGCGGUAGAGUGAUGAAGGCCUUGAGGUUGUAAAGUGCGUUUACCCGGGAUGAUAAUGACAGUACCGGGAGAAUAAGCUCCGGCUAACUCCGUG
rnacentral:rRNA from 1 species